AAGCUUUUUGCUUGGAUUAUGU
rnacentral:miRNA from 1 species